rnacentral:rRNA from 1 species
UACGAAGGGGGCUAGCGUUGCUCGGAAUCACUGGGCGUAAAGCGCACGUAGGCGGAUUGUUAAGUCAGGGGUGAAAUCCUGGAGCUCAACUCCAGAACUGCCUUUGAUACUGAAGAUCUUGAGUUCGGGAGAGGUGAGUGGAACUGCGAGUGUAGAGGUGAAAUUCGUAGAUAUUCGCAAGAACACCAGUGGCGAAGGCGGCUCACUGGCCCGAUACUGACGCUGAGGCACGAAAGCGUGGGGAGCGAACAGG